CGAUCCCUUUCUCCCCAAAACCUUCCUUGCAUUCAAGAACACAUCUGGUCAUCCCACAACCCCGGCAAUCCCUUCAACAACAUGUUUGAUCGUCUAAAAGAUGCGGCAAUACGCGAUAAUUUUGAUAACAUUACACGUUAUUGUUGGAAUUCGGGUGCAGGUGACCCGACGUCUUAUCCGGAUCUAGUGUCGGGUCUUGUUGAGGACGGGAAGGGCGUUAGGAUCGAGUUCUGUUUUAGUCGUCGAGCAUGAAGACGGGGGGGGGGGGUGCUUGGUUGGGUGUACAUAUUAUAUCUAACAAUUAGGUUAAGUAUAACCCUUUAAAAGGGUUAUUUUUUGGCUGAUCCUGGUCAUUUUUUUGGAUUUUUGAAGUUAAUGAUCAGGAUUUACCCUUGUUUUGUUAUGUAAGUGUUAUGUAUGCAUGGUCAUUAGGAUUCUUAGUA